rnacentral:rRNA from 1 species
UACAGGGGGUGCAAACGUUGCUCGGAAUCAUUGGGCGUAAAGCGCACGUUGGCGGUUCGUUAUGUCGGAUGUGAAAGCCCUUGGCUUAACCGAGGAAGUGCAUCCGAAACUGGCGAGCUAGAGUACUAAAGAGGAUCGCGGAAUUCCCGGUGUAGAGGUGAAAUUCGUAGAUAUCGGGAGGAACACCGGUGGCGAAGGCGGCGAUCUGGGUAGAUACUGAUGCUGAGGUGCGAAAGCGUGGGGGAGCAAACAGG